rnacentral:tRNA from 1 species
GGAGGAGUACCCAAGUGGCUGAAGGGUCUGGCUUCGAACACCAGUAGGUCGUUAAUAGCGGCGCAAGGGUUCAAAUCCCUUCUCCUCCG